AUGCAUAGAUUAUGUUUAUCGGUUAAUGAAAAUGUGCAAGAGAACUAUUUGCCUUUGUCAUUCUAUGAGUCACUUCCUUUUUGCGUAUGAAACCCCCACUCUCUUUGGCAGCAUCUAAUACUUCAAGUUGUUGAGUUGAUAAAGAGAUGGUUGAAUCAAAAGUAUUCCUUUUUUGAAGUACAAAUUUAUCAGAGGACAAAUCUAUAUUACUACUUAUUCCAUUAA
rnacentral:rRNA from 1 species